rnacentral:rRNA from 1 species
UGUGCCGCCCUGAAGGGCGUAUGGUGGAUGCCUUGGCAGACAGUACCGAUGAAGGACGUUUGAGGAUGCGAUAAGCCUCGGGGAGCCUCCAACAUGGCUUCGAUCCGAGGAUUUCCGAAUGGGGCAACCCGCCGGCCGUCAUGGGCCGGCACGGAACCUUGUUGUUCCGGGGGUACGCAGGGAAGUGAAACAUCUCAGUACCUGCAGGAAGGGAUACUCCGUGAGUAGUGGCGAGCGAAAGCGGAUCAGACCAAACCAUGGGCGCGUGAUACCCGUCGGGGGUUGCGUUCGUGGUGUUGCGGGAGCGUGUGUCCCGGUUCCGACGGACCGGGCGGGAGUCAUAAAACGGCUUGCCAGGGGAACAGGCUUGAAGGCCUGGCCGCAGAGGGUGCCAGCCCCGUACCUGGAAGCUUGCCGUCUUCCGAUCAUGUGUCCCAAGUAGCGCGGGCCUCGUGGAAUCCCGUGUGAAUCGGCCCCGACCGUGGGGUAAGUCUAAGCAUACCUGUCUGACCGAUAGCGUACCAGUACCGUGAGGGAAAGGUGAAAAGCACCCCGGGAGGGGAGUGAAAGAGUUCCUGAAACCGUGCGCCUACAAUCCGUCGGAGCCUCCCUGGUGGGGUGACGGCGUGCCUAUCGAAAAAUGAGUCUGCGAGUCAGUGGUGCGUGGCGAGGCUAACCCGUGGUGGGGGAGCCGUAGCGAAGGCGAGUCUCAAAAGGCGUUUUGAGUCGCGCGCCCUGGACCCGAAGCGGGAUGAUCUAGCCCUGGGCAGGUUGAAGCGCGGGUAAGACCGCGUGGAGGACCGAACCCACCUGGGUUGAAAACCGGGGGGAUGACCUGGGGCUAGGGGUGAAAGGCCAAUCAAAUUCCGUGAUAGCUGGUUCUCUCCGAAAUGCAUUUAGGUGCAGCGUCGGUUGAUUGCAUCGCGGGGGUAGAGCUACUGGAUGCUUGCGGGCCCGUGUCGGGUACCAAUAGCAGCCAAACUCCGAAUACCGUGGAUGUGUAUUCCGGCAGUGAGUCGGCGGGGGAUAAGCUCCGUCGUCGAGAGGGAGACAGCCCAGAUCGUCGUCUAAGGUCCCGAAGCGUGUGCUAAGUGGGAAAGGAUGUGGAGUCGCAUAGACAGCCAGGAGGUUGGCUCAGAAGCAGCCAUCCUUGAAAGAGUGCGUAACAGCUCACUGGUCUAGUGGUUCCGCGCCGACAAUGUAGCGGGGCUCAAGCACACCACCGAAGACGCGGCAGCGGCCUUUGCGGCCGUUGGGUAGGAGAGCGUCCCGCGUGGGGCGAAGCGGCCGGGGAACCGUGCCGUGGACCGCGCGGGAGUGAGAAUGCAGACAUGAGUAGCGAGAGACGGGUGAGGAUCCCGUCCGCUGGAUGACCAAGGGUUCCGGGGCCACGUUCGUCGUCCCCGGGUGAGUCGGGUCCUAAGGCGAGGCCGACAGGCGUAGUCGAAUGGAUGAACGGGUGGAUAUUCCCGUACCGGCGGCGUACCGUAAGAGCCGAACGGAUGAGUACUAACCUCCGGUCGCGUGGCGUCGUUCCCUUCGGGGUUCGGGGCGCGUGGCCGUUGGGAGCGUAGUCCUGGUAGGCUAGCGCACAGGGGUGACACGGAAUGGGAGCCGGCCGCGGAGGUGGUUUUCCGUGGUCAAGCACGCAGCCCGUCCCAUAGGCAAAUCCGUGGGACGCAUAGGGUGAGGUGUGAUGAUGGGCGUCCUUUGGACGCGAUAUCCGGUGGUCCAGGCCGUCGAGAAAAGCCUCGGCGCGAGGGGCGUCGC